CGGGGCGUGGCGCAGCCUGGCAGCGCGCAUCGUUUGGGACGAUGAGGUCGCGAGUUCGAAUCUCGCCGCCCCGACCA
rnacentral:tRNA from 1 species